rnacentral:rRNA from 1 species
UGAAAACUUAAAAUUUAAAAGACUUGACGGUACUUCACACCAACCUAGAGGAGCCUGUCCAACAACCGAUAGUCCACGAUUAACCCAACCCUUUCUAGCCCAACAGUCUAUAUACCGCCGUCGCCAGCUUACCUUGUGAAAGCAAAAAAGUAAGCAAAACAGUACACACACUAGCACGACAGGUCGAGGUGUAACUAAUGAAAGGGCCAGGAUGGGCUACAUUUUCUAACCUAGAACAAACGAACAUACCAUGAAAUUGGGACCCGAAGGAGGAUUUAGCAGUAGACUAAGAACAUAGUACUUAACCGAAAUUUGCAAUGAAGUGCGU